rnacentral:lncRNA from 1 species
AGAAGAUUGUGAGCCAAAUUAAUGAUCUACUAGCAGCAUAAAUGGCUAGCUUAUGCAUUUUGGCUGUAACAAAGGUCCCAAUUAAAUUUCUAACUAUAUAUCUUAUGUGACAUAUCUUGUAUAGUUUGUGCCCUAUUUAAAUGAUGUUAGCUUAGGGAAUAUUUGGAUGGCAUUGCUUAGCUAAUGUAAGACUUUAUAAGGAUUUAAUUACAUGUUGAAGGUUUAAAAUUUUACAUUUUAGUGGUAUUUGACAUUUCGUUUACAAUUUAAAAUAAUAAUAAUGUUCCGUAAGUACGGUUUAGAUGGUAAAAGAUUAUAUGAACGUUUGAUAUGUUGGAA